CUUCAUACGAUGGGAACUCAGAAAAUAUUUCUAAGCCAACUUCUCCUAUUUCUCUUCAACUGCAAUUUUUUUUACUUUGGCUAAACACUUUUGCUCGGGUAAGCUUUUGAUUUUUAGCAAGUUCCGAUGUUUUAUUAUUUAAUUUUACUUUUGCGUGAUUGCAUGAUUGGUGAUUUCAUAGACUAGAUUCAUGAUAAAUAAUUAGCAAUAGAAUAGGUACACAUAUCGGUUAGCAUUUUUGUAAAGGAAAUUUGAUGAUUUAAUCAAUGUACAAAAUCAACACAUAAUAAAAUAUUAAGCAUCUGACUUCUUAAUAUGGGGUUAAUUGGUUUAUAACUUUUAAAGCUCAAUCAGUGGACGGAUUCUAAGAGUGAAAUUGAGUAUUUGAAAUUUGAUUUUAAUUGUUAAACUAUAUUCUGAUUUCUAAUUAGAAACAAAAGGGGGUUUUAAUUUAUGCAUUAUUUAUUUAUUUUGUAUUUACGAAAAAGGGGUACAUGUUUAAUUUUUGAAAAUAAAAUAAAAUCAAGUUACUAAUGAUUUGCUUUGAUUUUGGUGAAUUAAAAUUUAUAGCUUAAGUUAUAGGCUUACAAUCUGAUGUCAACAUAUAUGGUAUUUAUAAGAUGUUCUAUUUUUUUAUAUUAUUUUAUAAUAAUUGUUUUAUGAUGUGGAGUUUUUGUUGAAAUUGAUUAAUCAUGAAAAGAAUACAUUAGGGUAAUUUUGGGUAUUGCUUCGUACAAGGUCCACUCUCAUAAUUAUUAGUAUGUGUAAAAAUAUAAUGAGUAAAUAUAAUGUGCAUGUUAGUCAGUUUAUAUUUUUUUUCUAUAUACUGCUAUGGAGCAUAAGAGUCGUAGACGACAGUUAGCCUCGGGCCAAAUUAGCACGAGUCAGUACAUGCUCUCAUCUACAUGGUUAAUUCUGUAUGAUUAAUUAAGGUAUUUACAUAGGCCUUAUAAUAUUAAUAUUGUAUUGGUUGAAUUAGGUGCGGCGCAAUUAGGAUCCUCGUUCGAGAAUUUAUUUGAGUUUCUUCUGCUGUGUUUGAUAUUGAGGUGGGUGAAUUCUCUUUUAACUCAAUAAAUAUGUUUUCAAUUGCCACGUGAAUUAAAAUUGUUUAUGAAAUAUUUUCUAUAAAUUCAACGUGUAUAUUGUGGUUAAGAUACGAGUUUGAUUGCAUACGGUGAGUAUGCGCAUUGGUGCUUAUGGCAGCGUGACGGUGAGUCACUGAUUUUUGAACGACGAGUAUGACAGGGUCCUGUGCACAGUUGAGCCAGUCGGUUAUUAUUAUUCCAUGCCUGGGUGGCUGGAUUAUUUGUCUGUGUGGCAAUGUUGUGAAUGGUUCGAUGCCUGGGUGGCUGGAUUAUUUGCCUGUGUGGUAAUGUUGUGAAUGAUUCCAUGCCUGGAUGGCUGGAUUAGUUGCCUGUGUGGCAAUGUUGUGAAUGGUUCCAUGCCUGUGUGGCUGGAUUAUUUGCCUGUGUGGCGAUCUUGUGAAUGGUUCCAUUCCUGUGUGGCUGGAUUAUUUGCAGGUGAGGUAAGGUAUGUUAUUUAUGCUGUGAUGGUGAGGCAGGUUGCGAAUGAGUAUCGCUUUCCACAAUUUAAUACACGUUUGGAUAAAUCAUAUCACCUUUAUUGUUUUCACCACUGAGUACGUUUUUGUGCUCACCCCCUUUCGUUAAAAUAUUUUCAGGUCAGUGAAUUUUGGAGCGGCGUGGCGGAAUGGGUGUGGUGAAGUUGAUUUGGACUUUUGGUUCCGCUUUGAACGUUAGACUUUAAAUUCGUUAAUUUUCUUUGAG
rnacentral:lncRNA from 1 species